UUGACUUUGGUGUUGAUCUUGCAUCCUGUGAUCAGAUCUUCUGAAGACCUACCACUUAUUUACUCACUCAAUCAGUAAGUGGUGAAUUUAAAUGCUGAAACAGUACUACUCAACAUACCUUCUGUGAGUCAACUGUUAUGAGCAACACCUGGAUCUCAUUAGAAAUGCAGAAUACGAGGUCCCAUCCAAGACUCAUUUCCCCAGUGUAUGCCAUUUUUAGGCUCCAAUAGUUCAGAGAAACUGCAAUUUCACUGAGACUUGACCUACAGAAUCAGAGAUUCAGGAUUCUAGUCACUUUGCUGAGAUGGAUCCAAGGUAUAGAAAGAAGUCAGAUGUCAGCCCAAAGGUCAGGCUGCAACAAAAGUGCUUACCUUGAAUGAUUUAGCUAUGAUAUGAGUUUACUCUGUAACAUAAGUAGCAUGGUUGGGCAGUGUUCAAGAACCUGGCUGUAUAAUGAAGAAAGGAGAAAAGACAGAAUUUAGCCCAAAUGUGAUGAAAGCCAAUUGACAUGAAGACAAUCAUCACGUUCAUCUUGGUCCAGUAAGAAUUUGAUAUUCACUCUGAUAGGAGAUUUGCAAUAUGACUCCAGUUAAGGUGGCAAUUUGAAACUCUCCUGCUUUGACUUCUGGAACUUGCUUCUGCCAAAUCAGUGGUGACUUUCAGGUAUAGGCCUAUGGCUGGAAACUAAAAUCAGAAGACUCCAACCUCCAGCUCUGAGAACCUACACUGAUAGCUCCAUCCAACUUCAACCACAAGUAGUGGGUCCAAAUCACAACACUCCAAUGAUGGAUUACACUGUCUCUGUCUUUUGCAGCACUUUGUUCAAAGAUAAAAGAUUCUCUGCAGUGGUGAUGAGGGCUAGUUCACUCAGCCCUUAGAUGCAGAUUCUGAGAGAUAGAGUACACAUAACUUUUAGAUAACAGGUGCUUUUAAAGAAAAUUUGAUUCUUUGAAAUUAAGUUAAGGUUUGUUUUAUAUAAUUUGCAGUCAAUUUUCAUAAAUCUCAUGUGUGUUUCAAAGAAAUGAGUAUUCUCUAUUUGUUGCCUUUAGGAAUCUAUGUAUCUUCAUUAUAUCAUGACUGUUAAUUGUUUUUCACAUGUUCUAUACCCUUCCUAAUGCUUUGUCUGCUUGAUCUAUCAAUUACCAGAAUAGGUAUUGCAGUCUGCCCCUCUGAAUUCAUAUCACAUGCAUAUAAAUUUUAAGUUACUAAACUUCCCUCCGUGAAAUCAAGCUCUUAUCAUUGUGUAGUUACCUUCUUUAUCUUGAAUAAUUAUUCUAAUUUAAGGUCGAUUUUCCCUGAUAAUAAUAUAAGUAAACCAACUUUCUUUUGGUUAGCAUUUGCCUGAUUUAUCUUAGUCCAUCUUUUUACUUUCUAUUUUCCUGUAACUUUCCUUAUAUUCCUUAGGUAUUCUGACCACGUGUGUCUUUUGGCUAAUGAAUUUAUUCCAUUUAUAAUUUAUUUAUGUUUCUUUAUAUGCAUUUAUAUGUAUAUAUAAUAUAUAUGUAUUUCUUCCAUAUAGUUAUUUACUUUUUGUUACUUUUUAUAUUCUGCUUUUGUUCUUUCAACUGUUUUUGUUUUUG
rnacentral:lncRNA from 10 species